UUAAGUCCCGCAACGAGCGCAACCCCUUUCCUUAGUUGCCAUCAGGUAAUGCUGGGGACUCUAAGGAUACUGCCCCGGUUAACGGGGAGGAAGGUGGGGAUGACGUCAAGUCAGUAUGUCCCUUACGUCCAGGGCUACACACGUGUUACAAUGGCCGGUACAAUGAGUUGCGACCCUGCAAAGGUAAGCCAAUCUCAAAAAACCGGUCUCAGUUCGGAUUGCAGUCUGCAACUCGACUGCAUGAAGUUGGAAUCGCUAGUAAUCGUAGAUCAGCACGCUACGGUGAAUACGUUCCCGGGCCUU
rnacentral:rRNA from 1 species